rnacentral:rRNA from 1 species
GGCGAUGAAGGUCUUCGGAUCGUAAAGCCCUUUUACAGAGGAAGAGGAAGGACAGUACUCUGGGAAUAAGUCUCGGCUAACUACGUGCCAGCAGCCGCGGUAAU